rnacentral:misc_RNA from 1 species
GAUGAAGAACGUAGCGAAAUGCGAUAAGUAGUGUGAAUUGCAGAAUUCAGUGAAUCGUCGAAUCUUUGAACGCACAUUGCGCCCCUUGGUAUUCCAUGGGGCAUGCCUGUUCGAGCGUCAUUUGUACCUUCAAGCUCUGCUUGGUGUUGGGUGUUUGUCUCGCCUCUGCGCGUAGACUCGCCUCAAAACAAUUGGCAGCCGGCGUAUUGAUUUCGGAGCGCAGUACAUCUCGCGCUUUGCACUCAUAACGACGACGUCCAAAAGUACAUUUUUACACUCUUGACCUCGGAUCAGGUAGGGAUACCCGCUGAACUUAAGCAUAUCAAUAAGCGGAGGA